AGGACGAACGCUGGCGGCGUGCUUAACACAUGCAAGUGGAGCGACGAACCAGGGCUUGCCCUGGGGCAGAGCCGCGAACGGGUGAGUAACACGUGGGUUACCUGCCUCGAUGACCGGGACAACCCGAGGAAACUCGGGCUAAUACCGGAUGUGCCCGUAAGGGGAAAGGAAGCUUCGGCCUCCGCAUCGAGAUGGGCCCGCGGCCCAUUAGCUUGUUGGUGAGGUAACGGCUCACCAAGGCUUCGAUGGGUAGCUGGUCUGAGAGGACGAUCAGCCACACUGGGACUGAGACACGGCCCAGACUCCUACGGGAGGCAGCAGUGGGGAAUCUUGCGCAAUGCGCGAAAGCGUGACGCAGCAACGCCGCGUGGGGGAAGAAGGCUUUCGGGUUGUAAACCCCUUUCAGUUGGGACGAAGCUUCUCCGGUGAAUAGGCCGGACGGAGUGACGGUACCUUCACAAGAAGCACCGGCUAACUACGCGCCAGCAGCCGCGU
rnacentral:rRNA from 1 species